rnacentral:rRNA from 1 species
UACGAAGGGGGCUAGCGUUGUUCGGAAUCACUGGGCGUAAAGGGCGCGUAGGCGGCUUGAUAAGUCGGGGGUGAAAGCCUGUGGCUCAACCACAGAAUUGCCUUCGAUACUGUCGAGCUUGAGACCGGAAGAGGUAAGUGGAACUGCGAGUGUAGAGGUGAAAUUCGUAGAUAUUCGCAAGAACACCAGUGGCGAAGGCGGCUUACUGGUCCGGUUCUGACGCUGAGGCCCGAAAGCGUGGGGAGCAAACAGG